GCGCGAAAACUUUACAACGCUGGCAACAGCGAUAAGGGAACCUCGAGUGCCAGGUUACAAAUCUGGCUGUCGAGAUGCCUAAAAAGCAUUUCAUAGCAAGGGUCGGGCAAGACCGGUGCCAGCCGCCGCGGUAACACCGGCGGCUCGAGUGGUAACCGUUAUUAUUGGGUCUAAAGGGUCUGUAGCCGGCCGGAUAAGUCUCUUGAGAAAUCUGGCAGCUUAACUGUCAGGCUUUCAGGAGAUACUGUCUGGCUCGAGGCCGGGAGAGGUGAGAGGUACUUCAGGGGUAGGGGUGAAAUCUUGUAAUCCUUGAAGGACCACCAGUGGCGAAGGCGUCUCACCAGAACGGACCUGACGGCAAGGGUCGAAAGCUAGGGGCACGAACCG
rnacentral:rRNA from 1 species